GGCUCCAUGGUCAAGCGGUUAAGACACCAGCCUCUCACGCUGGUUUCCCGGGUUCGAAUCCCGGUGGAGUCACCA
rnacentral:tRNA from 4 species